UACGUAGGGGGCAAGCGUUGUCCGGAAUCAUUGGGCGUAAAGAGCGUGUAGGCGGCCUGGUAAGUCCGCUGUGAAAGUCCAGGGCUCAACCCUGGAAUGCCGGUGGAAACUGUCAGGCUCGAGUCCGGAAGAGGCGAGUGGAAUUCCUGGUGUAGCGGUGAAAUGCGCAGAUAUCAGGAGGAACACCGGUGGCGAAGGCGGGACUCUGGGCCGAUACUGACGCUGAGGAGCGAAAGCGUGGGGAGCGAACAGG
rnacentral:rRNA from 1 species